AUGACAGCAUGGGGCUCCGGUCUUGCCGACGAUGAUAGGACGGUGGUGCUCUGCCUCAGCACGCACCACAGGAUUGGCAUUGCCAAGCCCGGCGAUGACCGCUGGAUGCUGCUCAGGCCCAGAGACAACUUGCUGGGGGAAGCACCCUUCAUAAUGUUUGCAGGCCGCUUCUACUGCGUCACUCGAGAUGGUGUCAUGGUGCUAAAAAUGGAUGAAGGUAAGCCACCACGGCUGGAACUAGCUGUUAACCUGAAUAUGGGUGUCUCGCUGUCUGAUGAUUACAUGCACCUCGUGGACAACUGUGGUGAGCUAUUGCUGGUGCACCGUCAAAGGUACGACACACAUUCGAUUCCCAGGAAUAAUUUUAAUAUGUGGAGAAGGAGGUACGGCACGUAUCGUGUGGAUUUGGACAGCGGGACGCUACUCCCACUCAAGAGCUUGGGCGGCAAAGGGCGUGCCGUGUUCAUGGGCAUGUACUCCUCUCUGUCCGUCUCCCUAGAGAGUUUCCCCGCCGGCUCUAUUAUCGCCGACACCAUCUACUUGAGCUUCGACUUUGGCGAGACUGAGUAUUCAAACGUUGGAGCAUAUCAUCUCACCUCUGGAUGCCUUGGACGUGACAGCCGACGCUGGGGAGGCCUGGUGCCACAGCCGCAUACACUCGUUGACUGUCUAUGUUUCGCCAAUACUCUCGAGUAUAUUAUCUGA
rnacentral:rRNA from 1 species